rnacentral:rRNA from 1 species
GAUGAACGCUAGCUACAGGCUUAACACAUGCAAGUCGAGGGGUAACGAGAGGAAAGCUUGCUUUCCUUGUCGACGACCGGCGCACGGGUGAGUAACGCGUAUCCAACCUGCCCCCAACUAGAGAAUAACCUUGCGAAAGUAAGACUAAUACCCUAUAAUUUCCUCAGAUGCCAUCUGACGAGGAAUAAAGAUUUAUCGGUUGUGGAUGGGGAUGCGUCUGAUUAGCUUGUUGGCGGGGUAACGGCCCACCAAGGCAACGAUCAGUAGGGGUUCUGAGAGGAAGUUCCCCCACAUUGGAACUGAGACACGGUCCAAACUCCUACGGGAGGCAGCAGUGAGGAAUAUUGGUCAAUGGGCGGAAGCCUGAACCAGCCAAGUAGCGUGCAGGAUGACGGCCCUAUGGGUUGUAAACUGCUUUUAUACAGGAAUAAAGUUAGCCACGUGUGGUUAUUUGUAGGUACUGUAUGAAUAAGGACCGGCUAAUUCCGUGCCAGCAGCCGCCGUAACAC